UGAGCAAGGACAGCUUGGAGGUUAAAAGCAAGAUACAGUCAGGUCUCACAUCGAGGUCACGCUGAUGAAAAAGGAACUACAGUACUGUUAUGUCAGUAACAUACAUCACAGUCGUACGUCUCCAGGCUUCUUAUCUUCCUUUGAACCUGACCUGGCUACUGUUUGGUGGAUUAUAGAGGAAAAGCUGUAAUGGGAAAGUAGGUUGGGUGAAGGGAUGAGAAAAAGGAAAGCAUCGUGGAGCACAUUAGCAGGCUUUCUCCAUGAAGAAGCAGCCCCAGGCUCCAGAAGCAGAUGAGAAGAUGAGGAGACAAGCAGAUGGAUUGCAAAAUGGUGCAAUAGAGAAAGAGAAAAGAAGAGGAAUGUCUGAACACUGAGAGAUUUCCAGCUGGGGUGGUCAGAGAAGGGUUCAGCCACAAGAUGGCCAAAAUCCAGGGAAGAUCUUCUUCCCACUCCAUUCCCUGCUUCUUGUUCCCCAUCCAUCCCACUGAGAGCCACCUCUACCACUCAAUAAAACCUCUCAUUCAUCCUUCAAGCCCGUGUGUGACCUGAUUUUUCCAAGAUGCUGGGCAAGAGCUCAGGACACAGAAAGCUGUUGAACUGCCCCUCUGCCCUUGCAGAAAGGCAGAGAGUCCACUGAGCUGAUUAACACCCAAGCCAUUCGUGGAUGGCAAGGCUAAAAGGGCA
rnacentral:lncRNA from 1 species